UACGUAGGUGGCAAGCGUUGUCCGGAUUUACUGGGCGUAAAGAGCGCGCAGGCGGUCGAUUUAGUCGUGUGUGAAAGCCCCCGGCUCAACUGGGGAGGGUCACGCGAUACUGAUCGACUCGAAGGCAGGAGAGGGUAGUGGAAUUCCCGGUGUAGUGGUGAAAUGCGUAGAUAUCGGGAGGAACACCAGUGGCGAAGGCGACUACCUGGCCUGUUCUUGACGCUGAGGCGCGAAAGCUAGGGGAGCAAACAGG
rnacentral:rRNA from 1 species